GGCCCGGCCUCCGCUGUCUCCCUCACCCAGUGCGUCCUCACACCCGCUGAUGGGCCCUGGAGCCGCUCCUUCACUUCUCUGCUCCUCCCUUGCGGUCUGUGCCCGGGGAGCCCCGUGCGCACAUGGCAGGGACUCGGCCACAGAGCUCACAGCGACUCCCGGCACCCACCGCAGGGCCCGGCACCCAGCCGGCGCUCAGCAAACACUCGUGCAGUGAGUGGAAGAGGAAGGGGAAACAGGAAGCCCGCCCGAAAGCGGAAAGGCGUUCGCUGUUAACGCUGGAUACUGGGGCUUCUGGGCGCCUCUCGCGCUCCCCAUCCCCAUGUCUCUCUCUCGCUCUCUCUGUCUCUCUCUCAUUCCCCGGCGGGGAGGUUGGACGAGGGCUUCCUCUGCACAGUAGACAAGGAGGCUGGAAAUAUCACACAAGUCACGAGAGCCUCGUUAAAGUCUCCCCUGACACCUGCUUCCAGUGGCGCACGCCUGAAAACAUCAGAGUCUUUUCAAAUGAGUCAGCUCUUCACAUCAGGUGGCCAAAGUGUUCAAUGUUCUACAAACUCACAGUGAUCACCACGAAGAUAGGAUCUGCCUUUGCGCUUGUGUAACUCAGACCCACACGCCUUGCUUCCUGCCUGGACCCCCAGGAUUUCCUGCGGCCCUGCUCCGGCCACCCAAGCCCGUGUCCCAAGAAGUGCAGGCAGAAGCCCAUAGUCCCUGGCACCGCACUGCUGGGCACGGGCCCCUUCCCCUUGGAGGGGAUCAGAAUGGCCCCCAACCCCUCUUCCUACCAGAGUGAACCUUCCAGAACCAGGCCCCCGUCCUCACGGGGCCCGCACAGCGAUGGGGAGAGCGAGAGAAACAGUGAAAUGAGAAUUGAAAAAAACACUUGCUGAUGGUGAGCACAGGAUGAGCCGGCAGACAGUGACUGGGGCCAGGGACAGGCGGAGAGUGGGCCCCGAAGACAGUCGGGAGGGACUCUCAGGGGAGGUGACCUCGCACUGAGGACCUGGAGGGGUGGGCGGGGCAGCCUUCCCAGCAGGCAAAGCCCGGAGGUGGGAGGCCCCGGGCAUGUCACCAGCUGUCGAGGGAGCCUGUGAGCCCGGAAACACGGCCCCCCAGGAGCAGCCUUCCUCCCGGGGAGGAGACUCAGGUCUGCACAGCGGACACUCUGAACAAACAUUUCCAGAGACCUCACUCCGAGCCCGGCCCUCUCAGAGCAGCUGGGGACAAAACAAGCAAGCAAACGGCAGAGCUGGACUCGGCGCCCAGCACAGAGGGGCCGGCAAGUCACUGGCGAAAGGGCACGUGAAAAAGACUUCUGCACAUAUGGGAUGCUCGGGUGCAGGUGCCCAGGGCGGUACGAGCAUGGGGAAAGACGAGAGCUGGGAAUCCCCUGGCAUUCCAGUGCUUAAGGCUCAGAUUUCACUGCUGGGGCCCGGAAUCAAGCUCUAGUCGGGGAGCUAAGAUCCUGUAAACUGCUUGAUGU
ensembl:lncRNA